rnacentral:rRNA from 1 species
CCUACGGGAGGCUGCAGUGGGGAAUAUUGCACAAUGGGCGAAAGCCUGAUGCAGCAACGCCGCGUGAAGGAAGAAGGGGUUCGGCUCGUAAACUGCGAGCAACAGGGACGAAAGGAAUGACGGUACCGGAAUAAGAAGCCCCGGCUAACUACGGGCCAGCAGCCGCGGUAAUACGUAGGGGGCAAGCGUUAUCCGGAAUUACUGGGUGUAAAGGGUGAGUAGGCGGCAUGGGAAGCCAGAUGGGAAAGCCUUGGGCUUAACCCGAGGAUUGCAUUUGGAACUAUCAAGCUAGAGUACAGGAGAGGCCAGCGGACUUCCUAGUGUAGCGGUGACAUGCGUAGAUAUUAGGAAGACCCCCAGUGGC